rnacentral:rRNA from 1 species
CCUACGGGUGGCAGCAGUCGAGAAUCAUUCACAAUGGGGGAAACCCUGAUGGUGCGACGCCGCGUGGGGGAAUGAAGGUCUUCGGAUUGUAAACCCCUGUCGUGUGGGAGCAAAUUCAAGAGAUAGUACCACAAGAGGAAGAGACGGCUAACUCUGUGCCAGCAGCCGCGGUAAUACAGCGGUCUCAAGCGUUGUUCGGAAUCACUGGGCGUAAAGCGUGCGUAGGCUGUUUCGUAAGUCGGGUGUGAAAGGCGCGGGCUCAACCCGCGGACGGCACAUGAAACUGGGAGACUAGAGUAAGGGAGGGGGAACCGGAAUGCUCGGUGUAGCAGUGAAAUGCGUAGAUAUCGAGAGGAACACUCGUGGCGAAGGCGGGUUCCUGGACAUUAACUGACGCUGAGGCACGAAGGCCAGGGGAGCGAAAGGGAUUAGAUACCCCAGUAGUC